rnacentral:rRNA from 1 species
UACGGAGGGGGCUAGCGUUGUUCGGAAUUACUGGGCGUAAAGCGCACGUAGGCGGCUUUGCAAGUCAGAGGUGAAAGCCCGGGGCUCAACCCCGGAAUUGCCUUUGAGACUGCAUCGCUAGAAUUGUGGAGAGGUAAGUGGAAUUCCGAGUGUAGAGGUGAAAUUCGUAGAUAUUCGGAAGAACACCAGUGGCGAAGGCGACUCGCUGGACAAGUAUUGACGCUGAGGUGCGAAAGCGUGGGGAGCAAACAGG